rnacentral:rRNA from 1 species
UACAGAGGGGGCAAGCGUUGUUCGGAAUUACUGGGCGUAAAGGGCGCGUAGGCGGCCUGUUAAGUCGAACGUGAAAUCCCCGGGCUCAACCCGGGAACUGCGUCCGAUACUGGCAGGCUUGAAUCCGGGAGAGGGAUGCGGAAUUCCAGGUGUAGCGGUGAAAUGCGUAGAGAUCGGGAGGAACAUCAGUGGCGAAGGCGGCCAUCUGGGACAACACUGACGCUGAAGCACGAAAGCGUGGGGAGCAAACAGG